UACGAAGGGGGCUAGCGUUGCUCGGAAUUACUGGGCGUAAAGGGUGCGUAGGCGGGUCUUUAAGUCCGGGGUGAAAUCCUGGAGCUCAACUCCAGAACUGCCUUUGAUACUGAGGAUCUUGAGUACGGGAGAGGUGAGUGGAACUGCGAGUGUAGAGGUGAAAUUCGUAGAUAUUCGCAAGAACACCAGUGGCGAAGGCGGCUCACUGGCCCGUUACUGACGCUGAGGCACGAAAGCGUGGGGAGCAAACAGG
rnacentral:rRNA from 1 species